UGGCAAAAGACACUUAUACCUUUGUUCUUUAUAUAUAUAAUAAAUAAAUAUUUAAAUAAAUAAAAAUCUAAAAAAAUAAAAAAUAAUUUUUUUUCAAAUUAUACUAUUUAGAAAUUCGAACCCUAAACCCUAAAACUAAACCGUAAAUCCUAAACCGUAAAUCCUAAACCCUAUUUUUUUCGAAAUACGAACCCUAAACCCUAAACCAUCAAUCCUAAACCCUAUUUUUUUUUUAAAUACGAACCCUAAACCCUGAAACAUCAACUCUAAACCCUAAACCCCGAAACAUCAACUCUAAACCCUAAACCUUCAACUCUAAACCCUAAAACAUCAACUCUAAACCCUAAGCCAUAAACUUCAUCUCUAAACUCUAAACCAUCAACACUAAACCCUAAACCCUAAAAAGUAAACUCUAAACCCUAA
rnacentral:lncRNA from 1 species